rnacentral:rRNA from 1 species
GAUGAACGCUGGCGGCGUGCCUAAUACAUGCAAGUCGAACGCUGGAAAUCUAGCUUGCUCGAUUGAAGGAGUGGCGAACGGGUGAGUAAUACAUAAGCAACCUACCCACGAAGACUGGGAUAAUCUCUGGAAACGGGGACUAAUACCGGAUAGGUAAUCGGAAGGCAUCUUCUGAUUAUUAAAGGUUAAAAACACUGGUGGAUGGGCUUAUGGCGCAUUAGUUAGUUGGUGAGGUAACGGCCCACCAAGACGAUGAUGCGUAGCCGGCCUGAGAGGGUGAACGGCCACAUUGGGACUGAGACACGGCCCAGACUCCUACGGGAGGCAGCAGUAGGGAAGUUUCGGCAAUGGGGGAAACCCUGACCGAGCAACGCCGCGUGAGUGAUGACGGCCUUCGGGUUGUAAAGCUCUGUUGUAAGGGAAGAACGGUAGAUAGAGAAUAUCUAAAUGACGGUACCUUACCAGAAAGCCACGGCUAACUACGUG